rnacentral:rRNA from 1 species
UGGGGAAUAUUGGGCAAUGGGGCGAAAGCCUGACCCAGCGACGCCGCGUGAGGGAAGAAGGUCUUCGGAUUGUAAGCCUUAAACAACAGGGACGAAGAAAGUGACGGUACCUGUUAGGAAGCCACGGCUAACUACGUGCCAGCAGCCGCGGUAAUACGUAGGUGGCAAGCGUUAUCCGGAUUUACUGGGUGUAAAGGGUGUGUAGGCGGAGAGGCAAGUCAGAUGUGAAAAUUACGGGCUCAACCCGUAACCUGCAUUUGAAACUGUUUCCCUUGAGUGUCGGAGAGGUAAAUGGAAUUCCCAGUGUAGCGGUGAAAUGCGUAGAUAUUGGGAGGAACACCGGUGGCGAAGGCGGUUUACUGGACGACAACUGACGCUGAGACACGAAAGUGUGGGGAGCAAACAGGAUUAGAUACCCUGGUAGU